rnacentral:rRNA from 1 species
UGCGUACCUUUUGUAUAAUGGGUCAGCGACUUAUAUUCUGUAGCAAGGUUAACCGUAUAGGGGAGCCGCAGGGAAACCGAGUCUUAACCGGGCGUUAAGUUGCAGGGUAUAGACCCGAAACCCGGUGAUCUAGCCAUGGGCAGGUUGAAGGUUGGGUAACACUAACUGGAGGACCGAACCGACUAAUGUUGAAAAAUUAGCGGAUGACCUGUGGCUGGGGGUGAAAGGCCAAUCAAACCGGGAGAUAGCUGGUUCUCCCCGAAAGCUAUUUAGGUAGCGCCUCGUGAAUUCAUCUCCGGGGGUAGAGCACUGUUUCGGCUAGGGGGCCAUCCCGGCUUACCAACCCGAUGCAAACUGCGAAUACCGGAGAAUGUUAUCACGGGAGACACACGGCGGGUGCUAACGUCCGUCGUGAAGAGGGAAACAACCCAGACCGCCAGCUAAGGUCCCAAAGUCAUGGUUAAGUGGGAAACGAUGUGGGAAGGCCCAGACAGCCAGGAUGUUGGCUUAGAAGCAGCCAUCAUUUAAAGAAAGCGUAAUAGCUCACUGGUCGAGUCGGCCUGCGCGGAAGAUGUAACGGGGCUAAACCAUGCACCGAAGCUGCGGCAGCGACACUAUGUGUUGUUGGGUAGGGGAGCGUUCUGUAAGCCUGUGAAGGUGGCCUGUGAGGGUUGCUGGAGGUAUCAGAAGUGCGAAUGCUGACAUAAGUAACGAUAAAGCGGGUGAAAAGCCCGCUCGCCGGAAGACCAAGGGUUCCUGUCCAACGUUAAUCGGGGCAGGGUGAGUCGACCCCUAAGGCGAGGCCGAAAGGCGUAGUCGAUGGGAAACGGGUUAAUAUUCCCGUACUUGGUGUUACUGCGAAGGGGGGACGGAGAAGGCUAUGUUGGCCGGGCGACGGUUGUCCCGGUUUAAGCGUGUAGGCUGGUUUUCCAGGCAAAUCCGGAAAAUCAAGGCUGAGGCGUGAUGACGAGGCACUACGGUGCUGAAGCAACAAAUGCCCUGCUUCCAGGAAAAGCCUCUAAGCAUCAGGUAACACGAAAUCGUACCCCAAACCGACACAGGUGGUCAGGUAGAGAAUACCAAGGCGCUUGAGAGAACUCGGGUGAAGGAACUAGGCAAAAUGGUGCCGUAACUUCGGGAGAAGGCACGCUGACA